rnacentral:rRNA from 1 species
GACGAACGCUGGCGGCGUGCUUAACACAUGCAAGUCGAACGGAAAGGCCCUGCUUUUGUGGGGUGCUCGAGUGGCGAACUGGUGAGUAACACGUGAGUAACCUGCCCUUGACUUUGGGAUAACUUCAGGAAACUGGGGCUAAUACCGGAUAGGAGCUCCUGCUGCAUGGUGGGGGUUGGAAAGUUUCGGCGGUUGGGGAUGGACUCGCGGCUUAUCAGCUUGUUGGUGGGGUAGUGGCUUACCAAGGCUUUGACGGGUAGCCGGCCUGAGAGGGUGACCGGCCACAUUGGGACUGAGAUACGGCCCAGACUCCUACGGGAGGCAGCAGUGGGGAAUAUUGCACAAUGGGCGGAAGCCUGAUGCAGCAACGCCGCGUGCGGGAUGACGGCCUUCGGGUUGUAAACCGCCUUCGCCUGUGACGAAGCGUGAGUGACGGUAAUGGGUAAAGAAGCACCGGCUAACUACGUG